rnacentral:rRNA from 1 species
AACGACUGCUAAUACCGGAUAUGCCGAAAGGUGAAAGAUUUAUUGCCUGGAGAUGAGCUCGCGUCUGAUUAGCUAGUUGGUAGGGUAAAGGCCUACCAAGGCGUCGAUCAGUAGCUGGUCUGAGAGGAUGAUCAGCCACACUGGGACUGAGACACGGCCCAGACUCCUACGGGAGGCAGCAGUGGGGAAUUUUCCGCAAUGGGCGAAAGCCUGACGGAGCAAUACCGCGUGAGGGAGGAAGGCUUUUGGGUUGUAAACCUCUUUUCUUAAGGAAGAACACAAUGACGGUACUUAAGGAAUAAGCAUCGGCUAACUCCGUGCCAGCAGCCGCGGUAAUACGGAGGAUGCAAGCGUUAUCCGGAAUGAUUGGGCGUAAAGCGUCCGCAGGUGGUUUUGUAAGUCUGCUGUUAAAGCGUGAGGCUCAACCUCAUAAUGGCAGUGGAAACUACAAGACUAGAGUACGUUCGGGGCAGAGGGAAUUCCUGGUGUAGCGGUGAAAUGCGUAGAUAUCAGGACGAACACCGGUGGCGAAAGCGCUCUGCUAGGCCGUGACUGACACUGAAGGACGAAAGCUAGGGGAGCG